rnacentral:rRNA from 1 species
UACAGAGGUCCCGAGCGUUGUUCGGAUUCACUGGGCGUAAAGGGUGCGUAGGUGGUUAGGUAAGUCCGAUGUGAAAUCUCCAGGCUCAACCUGGAAAUGGCAUUGGAUACUAUUUAGCUUGAGGAGUGGAGGGGGGACUGGAAUUCUCGGUGUAGCAGUGAAAUGCGUAGAUAUCGGGAGGAACACCAGUGGCGAAGGCGAGUCCCUGGACACUUCCUGACACUGAGGCACGAAAGCUAGGGGAGCAAACAGG